CAGCAAAGCGCGUGUUGAGAGCCAUGGCAGGGUGACUAGGGUCCUGGGUCAUGUUGAGUGUUCCAACACAGGACUUGGUGUUCUAAGGAGAAGAUUUCUGGGGUUUAACAACCAGUACCUUUUUCCUGACAAGCGACAUGACUCCGAUCCUGGUGAGAACAUGCUGUCGAGACAGGCCUUCACGGGGGACUCCAUCCGCAAAGGUCCCGGACCAGCCAGUGUGAGUUGAAAGCAUCCUGAG